rnacentral:tRNA from 1 species
UCUAAUUUAACAUAUAUGUAAGCGCAUCAAAUUUUACACAUGAUGCGCUUG